rnacentral:rRNA from 1 species
UACGUAGGUGGCGAGCGUUGUCCGGAAUUACUGGGCGUAAAGGGCGCGCAGGCGGGUAUUUAAGUCAGAUGUGUAAUCUACAGGCUCAACCUGUAGUUUGGAUCUGAUACUGGAUAUCUUGAGGGUAGGAGAGGACAGUGGAAUUCCUAGUGUAGCGGUGAAAUGCGUAGAUAUUAGGAGGAACACCAGUGGCGAAGGCGGCUGUCUGGCCUACAACUGACGCUGAGGCGCGAAAGCGUGGGGAGCGAACAGGAUUAGAUACC